rnacentral:rRNA from 1 species
AUUGAACGCUGGCGGCAGGCCUAACACAUGCAAGUCGAACGAGUGGCGGACGGGUGAGUAAUGUCUGGGAAACUGCCUGAUGGAGGGGGAUAACUACUGGAAACGGUAGCUAAUACCGCAUACCAUCGGAUGUGCCCAGAUGGGAUUUGCUAGUAGGUGGGGUAAAGGCUCACCUAGGCGACGAUCCCUAGCUGGGCUGAGAGGAGGACCAGCCACCUUGUAACUGAGAAACGGUCCAGACUCCUACGGUAGGCCGCAGUGGGGAAUAUUGCGUAAUGUGCGCCAGCCUGAUGCAGCCAUGCCGCGUGUAUGAAGAAGGCCUUCGGGUUGUAAAGUACUUUCAGCGGCGAGGCGUUACCCGCAGAAGAAGCACCGGCUAACUCCGUGCCAGCAGCCGCGGUAAUAC